rnacentral:misc_RNA from 1 species
CCGUUUGAGUUGAAAUUUUCCUUCUCUGUAUAUCACAUAAUAGAUUUUUCUCGCCUCUGCGGAAACAGUCGUUGGAAAAUUCCCAUCGAUCAGGUACCACCUUUCUAAAUCCAUAAGUAUUUAAUUGGCGAACAAAGCUCGAAAAGUUGUUGUGCUUGAAGUACUUGGGAAGCAAAUCUCUAGCAAAAACCGUAGGGUUCCAAACGAUGAAGGUAGAUCCGUCAUCGUUCCAGGAAAUCACAUCGUCUAUUGUUUGAUCAUCCACGAGUUGGUAAGUCUUCGUCAAAAAAGGAGUCGGCAAAGAUUUCUGUGAUUCCCCGGCAGUCGCCUCUCCGUUCUGCUCCCUCGGCGUAGGCGCCAUCGCCGACGCUUAAAGAAAAAGUUUGAAUAAUCAAUAAAUGAAGUUGUGAAGGAUUAUUAGAUAGGAAUUUGGAGAGAAAGCAGGGUUGAAGGUUACAGGGAGGAUUUGAUAUGGUAAUUCUAGAAGGUUCCUAGGAAUUUAAGGAAGCGAAGGGGAGAGGAGAGAGAGUAUAAACGGUAACGAAGAAAACAAAGGAAGAACGGUGACAAAGAGAGGAAUUGAUGAAACGACG